rnacentral:rRNA from 1 species
AACGAACGCUGGCGGCAGGCUUAACACAUGCAAGUCGAACGGUUGUAGCAAUACAGCAGUGGCAGACGGGUGAGUAACACGUGGGAACCUUCCUAGGGGUACGGAACAACUCAGGGAAACUUGAGCUAAUACCGUAUACGUCCGUGAGGAGAAAGAUUUAUCGCCCUUAGACGGGCCCGCGUCGGAUUAGCUAGUUGGUGGGGUAACGGCCUACCAAGGCGACGAUCCGUAGCUGAUCUUAGAGGAUGAUCAGCCACACUGGGACUGAGACACGGCCCAGACUCCUACGGGAGGCAGCAGUGGGGAAUUUUGGACAAUGGGCGCAAGCCUGAUCCAGCCAUGCCGCGUGAGUGAAGAAGGUCUUCGGAUUGUAAAGCUCUUUUGCCAGGGACGAUAAUGACGGUACCUGGAGAAUAAGCCCCGGCAAACUUCGUGCCAGCCGCCGCGGUAA